rnacentral:rRNA from 1 species
AUUGAACGCUGGCGGCAUGCCUAACACAUGCAAGUCGAACGAGUGGCGGACGGGUGAAUAAUGUCUGGGAAACUGCCUGAUGGCGGGGGCUAAUUACUGGAAACGGUAGCUAAUGCCGCAUACCAGUAGAUGUGCCCUGAUGGGAUUAGCUAGUUGGUGGGGUAACGGCUCACCAAGGCGACGAUCCACAGCGGGUCUGAGAGGGUGACCAGCCACACUGGAACUGAGACACGGUCCAGACUCCUACGGGAGGCAGCAGUGGGGAAUAUUGCGCAAUGGGCGAAAGCCUGAUGCAGCAAUGCCGCGUGUAUGAAGAAGGCCUUCGGAUUGUAAAGUACUGUCAGCGGGGAGGCGUUACCCACAGAAGAAGCACCGGCUAACUCCGUGCCAGCAGCCGCGGUAAUAC